UACAGAGGUCUCAAGCGUUGUUCGGAUUCAUUGGGCGUAAAGGGUGCGUAGGCGGCGCGGUAAGUCGGGUGUGAAAUCUCGGGGCUUAGCUCCGAAACUGCAUUCGAUACUGCCGUGCUUGAGGACUGGAGAGGAGACUGGAAUUUACGGUGUAGCGGUGAAAUGCGUAGAUAUCGGGAGGAACACCUGUGGCGAAGGCGGGUCUCUGGACAGUUCCUGACACUGAGGCACGAAGGCCAGGGGAGCAAACGGG
rnacentral:rRNA from 1 species